rnacentral:rRNA from 1 species
AGUGGCAGACGGGUGAGUAACGCGUGGGAACCUACCUAUAAGUACGGAACAACACAGAGAAAUUUGUGCUAAUACCGUAUGUGCUCUAAUGAGUAAAGAUUUAUCGCUUAUAGAUGGGCCCGCGUUAGAUUAGCUAGUUGGUGAGGUAACGGCUCACCAAGGCGACGAUCUAUAGCUGGUCUGAGAGGAUGAUCAGCCACACUGGGACUGAGACACGGCCCAGACUCCUACGGGAGGCAGCAGUGAGGAAUAUUGGACAAUGGGGGCAACCCUGAUCCAGCCAUGCCGCGUGAGUGAUGACGGCCUUAGGGUUGUAAAGCUCUUUCAGUAGUGAAGAUAAUGACGGUAACUACAGAAGAAGCCCCGGCUAACUUCGUGCCAGCAGCCGCGGUAAUACGAAGGGGGCUAGCGUUGUUCGGAAUCACUGGGCGUAAAGCGCGCGUAGGCGGACUUUUAAGUCAGGGGUGAAAUCCCGAGGCUCAACCUCGGAACUGCCUUUGAUACUGGAAGUCUUGAGUUCGAGAGAGGUGAGUGGAAUACCGAGUGUAGAGGUGAAAUUCGUAGAUAUUCGGUGGAACACCAGUGGCGAAGGCGGCUCACUGGCUCGAUACUGA